CGACUGGUUGGAAAUGCUUCCUCUGCUGCUGGAAAGGGUGAUCCUUUACAAAGUAAAGAUGAACUUACUUUGAAGAAAUCAUUCUUCACAAAAUUAGGAUCCUCAUGUUCAAAUCUCGUGGGUGAAGGCUGUGCAGAUAGGUAUGCCAAGUCAGACCAAUUGGAAGAGGAGGGAGAAAAGGUGAAAGAACUGGAGUAAUCUGAGGUUGAAGGUGAGAGUGACGGGGAUGUGGCAUUAGACUUUGGUUUACUAACAAGAAAACAAGAGAGAGAAUCAAGUGAGCUGAAUGAAGGAGAUGGCGACACAGGCUCUGUAUCAAGACCAGGGUUUUCCACAUCUCUACAAGGAUCCUUUGUCCAACUUGGACUACUGGUUGCAUAAGAAGAGAAAGAAUCUGGUGAUCCACACUGAGGACUUGAAGGUGAUGAAGGCAAAGCAGGAGAGAGUUCUUUAAUGGUGUCUAUCUUAUCAAGUACAGG
rnacentral:misc_RNA from 1 species